AGAUUGAAACAGAUCUUUGGUUUUGCCUUUGCUGACUGCUGAUCUGAUCGUCUCAAGUCUGGUGACCUGCUGCAGAAGCUCUCUCCCUCUAUCAUUAACAAGCCAUUCAGUCUGUCCUAUCACUCUCCCCACUCUAUCUAUUUUGACAAGCCGUUCUAUCUUGCUUCACUCUAUCCCACAAGCUCUAAGUUAUCAAAAAUCACGUUUUUAACUGGAAUCCAAUUUUGACUGGAAUCAAGUUUUGACUGGAAUAAUCAAGUUUUGACAUGGCCCCAUUUUUGGGAAAUUGAAGUUACCAGUACUUCAUCUAUCUGUUACAGAAUUCUGAGAGAUCUCUGCUCUCACUGCUCCUUCUUUCCUAUCGUUAAACUCUCUCACAUCCAGUCUUUUUGCUGGAAAUUACAAGUAGAAAGUUGAAAUUACAAGAGUAGAAUUACAGUACAGUAGGAACUACUUACACAGCCCUAGAUUUAUUUAAAUCUAUACUUGGAACACUUUAGAAUAAACACUGAUAGUUUGGCUUAAAGGUGCAAUUACUUUGAUACAUUAUAUAAAAUUUACACCUUCUUUAAGGUUUUUGUAAUAAAAUAAACUUAUUUUGUAACACAUACAUUCAGACUGCUGUAUUCAUAAAAAU